UACGUAGGGGCCUAGCGUUGUCCGGAAUUAUUGGGCGUAAAGAGCUCGUAGGCGGUUCGGCAAGUCGGAUGUGAAAUCUCCACGCUUAACGUGGAGGGGCCAUUCGAAACUGCUGUGACUCGAGUCCGGUAGGGGAGUGUGGAAUUCCCGGUGUAGCGGUGAAAUGCGCAGAUGUCGGGAGGAACACCAGUAGCGAAGGCGGCACUCUGGGCCGGAACUGACGCUGAGGAGCGAAAGCGUGGGGAGCGAACAGG
rnacentral:rRNA from 1 species